rnacentral:rRNA from 1 species
UACGUAGGGGGCGAGCGUUGUCCGGAUUUAUUGGGCGUAAAGAGCUCGUAGGCGGUUCGAUAAGUCGGAUGUGAAAUCUCCACGCUCAACGUGGAGGGGCCAUUCGAUACUGUCUUGACUCGAGUCCGGUAGGGGAGUGUGGAAUUCCGCGUGUAGCAGUGAAAUGCGUAGAGAUGCGGAGGAACACCGAUGGCGAAGGCAGCAACCUGGGCUGACACUGACGCUCAGGCACGAAAGCGUGGGGAGCAAACAGG